rnacentral:lncRNA from 1 species
GGGGGCUCGGUCUUUCUAACCCUAAGCGGAACGUGGCCCCUCCCCGCCGCAGCCGUCCGCUGUUUUACUCGCUGACUUUCAGCGGGCGGGGGGAGCGGGCGGAGACACCAACCAAAAAACGUCAGCGAGGGGCCCUCCCCUCCCACGCCGACCUGGGCCGGUGUGGGGCCCGCCAGGGAAGUCCCCGCCGCCCCGCCCUGGUGAGGCCGCGGUCAGCCGGUUCGCGCCACUGCUGCCGCGAAGAGUUCGUCUCUGUCAGCCUCGGGGGCGGCCGGGGUGGAAGGGCGGGUCCCGUGCGGGUCGGCCGGGAGAGCAAACAUUUCUACCUUUGAUCCCAGCUGCAGCAUGGUCAGCUCUUCUGGUGCUUCACUCCAGCUGGGACCCAGAAGGGCAAGAGAGAAGGACUGCAAAAAUUACGAACCUGAAGAUCUUUCCGAAUCUUAACAGAAAGGUGAAGUUUGAGGCAAUCGUCUUCAAACAGACAGUGCAUUUCUUCAUGUCAGAGUCACAAAGUUGGAGUUUGUUCUGAGAGAAAUAGUCGAGUGUGCCACAGCUGAACUACUGAGUGACAGCAAACGCUUUUCGGCUUCUGUUGUGUGUGUGUUUUUUUUCUGAAGGGUUGGCAGUCUGAGCUAUUCUCAAGGAUUUGGAAAAGAGCCACAAACAGGAAUUAUUGAACAAUUGCUCUGUGAAACUUAAGAUAACAGUUUGUUCCACCACAGUGGAAUUGCUUUGUGGUAGAAGGAAAUUAUCUUUUUAGCUCUUGAUUAACAUUAUGUGAGAAAAAUAAAAUUGAAGUUUGAUUGUAUCUGUCCUAAAAU